rnacentral:rRNA from 1 species
UACGUAGAGUGCAGGCGUUAAUCGGAAUUACUGGGCGUAAAGCGUGCGCAGGCGGUUUGCUAAGACAGGUGUGAAAUCCCCGGGCUUAACCUGGGAACUGCGCUUGUAACUGGCAAGCUAGAGUGUGGCAGAGGGGGGUGGAAUUCCACGUGUAGCAGUGAAAUGCGUAGAGAUGUGGAGGAACACCGAUGGCGAAGGCAGCCCCCUGGGCUAACACUGACGCUCAUGCACGAAAGCGUGGGGAGCAAACAGG